rnacentral:tRNA from 1 species
GCCGGGAUGACGGAAUGGCAGACGUGCUAGAUUUAGAAUCUAGUGUCCCAGUGGCGUGUGGGUUCAAGUCCCACUCUCGGCA